rnacentral:rRNA from 1 species
AACGAACGCUGGCGGCGUGCUUAACACAUGCAAGUCGAACGGAAAGGCCCUGCUUUUGUGGGGUGCUCGAGUGGCGAACGGGUGAGUAACACGUGAGUAACCUGCCCUUGACUUUGGGAUAACUUCAGGAAACUGGGGCUAAUACCGGAUAGGAGCUCCUGCUGCAUGGUGGGGGUGGGAAAGUUUCGGCGGUUGGGGAUGGACUCGCGGCUUAUCAGCUUGUUGGUGGGGUAGUGGCUUACCAAGGCUUUGACGGGUAGCCGGCCUGAGAGGGUGACCGGCCACAUUGGGACUGAGAUACGGCCCAGACUCCUACGGGAGGCAGCAGUGGGGAAUAGUGCACAAUGGGCGGAAGCCUGAUGCAGCAACGCCGCGUGCGGGAUGACGGCCUUCGGGUUGUAAACCGCUUUCGCCUGUGACGAAGCGUGAGUGACGGUAAUGGGUAAAGAAGCACCGGCUAACUACGUG